UGAGCUCAGUCCCUUUGAGGGGUGCCUGCCUGGGCCGAGAUCUGACCCCCCCGUCCUGGCGGCUGCUGCCGCUGUGUCUGGAGCUGUGACCGCAGGGCAGCUGGUUCCCUUGUCUGCCUGGCCUGGGUUAUCCGGUGCCCGACGCCAGCCCUCUGGGCGUGGUGGGGCCCUGCGUCCCCUCAGUCUCUGGGUGGGCGGCCAGAGAUAGGGCAGAGUCUGCAGCCUUGGUUAGGCCCUUGCCCUCUCGGCCAUGGGAACGGGCAGGAGGGAGAAGGAUGCUUGGACUGAGAUUGCGGUCACUCUUGAAGUGGGGCAAUCUUAGCUUUUUGUAUACUGGGGACAGGAUUGCUUAUAACUUCACUUUAGAACUGGGUGUGACUGCCCAUGUGCGGUGGUUUGUGAAAUGCUGGUGGAUCGUGUGGGAUGCUGGCACUGAACGUGGCUGUGGUGAUGCAGAACGAGCCCUGUAGGCAGAAGGGUGGGGAGCGACCCUGAGACAGUCAGCUGUGUUUGGCCAGUUUCCCGUGCUGUGUGUGACAGGCUCUUCUCUUCUCAGGUGAGCCUGCUGCUGAGGGAACGGACACUCUGCUCCCAGGUCAGGGAAACAUGUCCCGCCGGAAACAGACCACUCCGAACAAAGUUCACUGGUCUGUAAGCCUGUGCAUCAGGGGAGCUGGCUGUGUCCUGGCAUGGCAGGACAGGGAUAGGCUUGAACAAACAACUAAUGCUGUAAAGGUAGGUGUGUAUAUGCAGGGCCUGUAGCUGUGCUUUGCAUUCACACUGUCACAAGUUCUAGUUAGUAUACUAAGAAACAUGACUUGGGGCUCUGGCCCGUCUUGGGUAGCAAAGGAGGUUCUAGGCAAGGUGAUUGGAGUGUGUGGUUGAAAGGUGGGAAGUCCUGGGUUCUGAUCUUUGCCCUACCACAAACCCACCUGACUGGCCUUGGACAUGUUACUUAAGCUCACUGUACCUCAGUUUCCUACCACAUAAUGUAAGUAAAGCCAUUUGCUCUUCUCUUGCAGGGAACGGGCAGUGGCUAAGCAAUUUACAGGACAGACAAAUGCUGUCUGCCAGAUCAUUCUUGAGCUGAGCUGAUAGGACAGAUCUCUGCUUCUCCAGGACUGUCAAGACCCUGGCUUUUGUUUGAUAAUGAAAGGGCUGAAGAUGCUGUACAUCAGCACUUCUUGUGGGGAGGCGACAGCGAGAUGUUAGUGGAGCUGGGAGACAUGUAUGGCUGUUUGGCUGCAAAGGGGAAACUGCACAUAUAUGGCUUUUGUUUGACUGAUUGCAGCACAGGGAAGCUGGGGGGUCUGAGGCUAUGCUCUUGUAUGUACCCAGCUUUGUGGCUGGAGACACGUUUGGAAUUCGGGCUGGAAUGAGGAAAGCAGAUUUCCACUUCUGUAGACAUGUGAAAACAAGGCUGAUGAGAGGGCCCUAGGUACUGCUAAGCUGUAGUAGCUGUCCGGAAUACAGGACAGAGAGCUGAAUGCUGCAGCCCUUAACACUGCCUCACUUUGCUGAUGCUGCUGGCUUGCAUGUCGCUGUGUGUUUCUCUGUGCUGACUUUUUGUAUGGGUACAGCAACAGGAAUCUAUGCAUGCUGUUCUCUCUACUAGAGGAAAAUACAUUGCGAUAUAGCCUAACACUUUGCACCCAGUGAGUGUACCGGGGAGAACUACCUCUGUCUGGGACUUGAAAGCCCCAUUGGCUGCUAGAGCUAGGCAUGGAAGUGCUGACAAACUUUUCCUCGGUGGCCAGUGGAAGAGUCUUGAGUCAUGGCUUUUGGCAUCUGCACUGACUCGUGCUCUCCAAUUCCUGCUUCUGGGCACUGGGCUCAACAGUGGGCAGAGUAUAGGUUUGAUUUGCCUGAUCGUACACACGUUAAUGACUUUGGGAUUGUCUUCCUUAGAGAAAUUUGAUAUGUCCUCUGUUUUGUCCUAUGAUGCCAGUAACACAUUUUGUCUCCACACACUUUUGCUUCUGAGAGUGCCCAGGUAUUACUGCUGCUGUUUAGAUCAGACCUAUGUAAGGCAUACACUUACGCCAUCUCCCCUGCUGUAGGGUCAUGGUCUCUCAUGCAUGGAAACCAAGGGGCACAACAGCUCUAAUGAUGCAGGUAGUUUCCAUGGUGUUUAGGUGGGCUGUUUUCUGCACUCUGCUGCGUGAGGGUUAUGUUCUUCAGAAGCCUGCGCUAUUAUGUACAAAACUAUACAUAUUAUGGAGUUCAGUUGUGCACUAUUUUCACAAUGAACAUUGCUUUUUUAUCUGCAAGACAAGUGAUUGUGUCUCCAGUUUUGGUCUUGGGGGAAGCUAUCUGGCAAACACGCUACCAGCGGGCAUGAGGUUGAGUUCAUGGCAUUUGGUAUGCCAUAGAGAGGAAUUCUGGGACCUGUUCACCUCCUUUACAUGCAGUACAUUGCUACAGAGCAACUAUUCAACAGGAGCCAUCAGGAGCAGCAAGUAGGACCACAAGAAAAUAAAGGGACUGAAAGAUACAAGAAACAUGUCAAUGGUGAUGUCUCCGCUUUGGGAUGGAAAAUCUUGUCUCUCAUGAUGAACACCACCAAAUCGUUGGGACUUCUCUGUCUACCUAGCCUGCUGUGUGUCUGGAGGGCCCAGAAAUGCCAUGCAGUGCACUGACGAGGAUAAUCGGAGAGAGCAUCAGCUCCAAGAACUGGGUGAGCCAGCAGAAUGAGGAGUCAGGCUGAGACAUAGCAGACACGUUACUGAGACUUCUUCACAGGGACUGAAGUGGUUGGGAGGAGAGGAAUAAAAGGGACAGCAGUAACCACUACAGCAGUGUGGACAACCCAGAAUAGCGAUGGGGCAGGUGGACUAGAUCCACAGUGGUGGAAAGACUUGCAAAUUUCAGGUCCAGGAAAGGAACACACAGAAGACCUACCUGACCAGGGACUCUAAAUUGAUGUACGAGGAGGGAAUAAAGUGGCUCGUCUCUGAGAGACCUUUCUGUUUAGGAAGGAAGACAGGGGAAUGGCGCAGUUUGUUUUGAUUCUUGUUUUGUGGAUUUGGGGGUGGGAGUUGUUUGUUUGUGUGUUUAUUUUCCAGAACACCCGAGAGUUUUCCUGCAUUCAUACAGUUCAAGGAGGGAAGGGCUCAGGACAAAAAAUCCUUUCUGGGCACCAGGCUGAUACUCCACCAGAACCUAGCAGCUGUAACUCCCCCUGCUGCACAGUACCCAGGGCUGCCCCCUACCUCCACAACUGCUCACCUGACAUCCCACUCAUUGACACGAUUAUGGAGAGGAGAACUGGAGUGCAAAGCAGAGGCAUUUGUGUGACCUUUCGCUGUCCUACGUCUCUAGCUGUUUGUAAAACACGAUGACUUGUUUUGGUUUUUGUGGUCAGCCUGCAGCCCUUUUUGUAUUUAAUAAAGAAACUUCUGGAGAAGAGUCUGUGAAUUCAAUACUGGGCAUAACAUCCUUCACUGAUAGCAGUGACCCUAAAGCUGUUGCCUGUCUUGCUCCCUUUCUAAACGAAUGUGAGUGUAUUCAAAGUGGGGUGGAGGCGGGGUGUAAGUGCCUGUAUGUGAGCACGUGUGUGCAGAAACAGCAAAUGUAUAACCCUGUACCUACCAAACAUUAAAGCUCUAAAGCUUCAUCAAAGUAGGACUUAGCCCAUCGGUAGAUGAACAGGACAGUCUUCCCUGAGUUCUUCUGGAGACAAUAGUAGUUUAAUACAUAAAAAAUUCUGUGUAAGCUAAAGAUAGCAUUUUGAAAAGUGUCUUUCCCAAUGCCAUGGUGCCUUUUAGGUACAGGCUAGCAGAGAAUGCACAAGAUGUUGUCUGCUAACAGCACCGGUCUGUUUAACAGUUUGCAUUUCUGGCUGUAAGCUGAUAGUUCUCUGCAGUGCACUGAAUCUGUGCUGCCUUGGCUCUGGGUAUGCUGUACAGAAAGGCCACUGGCAGACGUGAUCACUCUCUUUAGUUGUUGUGAUUGAUGCUAGCGUUGCUGAUGGGAGGAGUUCCCUCCUCAGUCGCCUCAUACAAAGAUCACAGCUUUUAAAAUCCUGCAGGCUGUCGCAUAGUGUGUGUAUCUGAGCAGGAACCUACCUGCCAUUAGACUCCAGGCUGCUGCUCAGUGGAAACGUAAGCCGUCUGGAAGGGGAAAGGGGGAAGAAAACAAACAUGUAACUGCGUCCACUAGCAGUGCCGUGGUGUUUGGGAGUCCUGUUUUGUAGCUCUAUCGCAGGCAGCACAUCUCCCACCAUAGCUUUACAUCUGUCCUGUGUUCUGCAGGUUUCCUCAUUUCACCAUACUUUCUCUUUGUCUUGCAAUGCUUCUUUGGUCUCUGGGCUUUUAUCCUGCAUAGAUAUCUGCUUCUUGGAGAGGUGCUGUAAUUCUGUAGCGUCUGCUGUUCAUACGGUCUGUAUCUCAGUCCCACCAAUGUGAGGUUGUGGUCCAGACAUAAAAGCAGCACUCCAGGUUAUGGAAACUAUUCGGUGCUGGAAUGGCUUCUGAUGUGUCACUGCAACCAUGACAGUACCUGCUGCUUUCAGUGGCAGAUAGAGUGCUCCUCGGCACCGCUGCCAGCCUGCGUGGAUUGUGUUCUCAAGUCUUCUCUACAGAAACCUUUCUCACAUUUCUGAAACAGAACGGUAAAUGCCUUCAAAUGCUUUUGGAAACCUCCAUGGGGAUGUUGGGAACUAAAACUCUUCUCCCACACUCUCCAUGAAACUUCUGAAGGUCUUUGAAAUCUUCCAGAAAUUACUGCUUUUUAAAGCACUGCUGGAAAUUGAGAGGUAAGCACCAGAAAGGCAGUGUGAGCAUGAACAUGGGGUAAAGCUGGCUGAAACGGUGUGGCACGUGGGACUGCACCUCUCCUUUGUGACAGGACUGGUGCUCCCUCAGUGCAUCAGGAAUUCAGUUCCCUGGUUAUCGUGAUGCCAGUCGUGGCCCUAUACUGAAAGGUACAAUCUUGUUCUGAAAGCUUCUAUGUGAAAAAUGCAUUGCGUCUUCCUCAGCAUUUUUGCGUGUGUGCUUUGAGUGGUUCUUGAGAGUUUACAAAUCAUUUGGUAAAUUUAACCCAAGAGCCAGCCUGCUGGAAACUUCAGCACCUUGUUCCAAGCGCUCCCAGCUCAUCCACUGAGAGAGGCAAAUCACGACUACAACUGGAACAGUAAUUUUUUUGAUUUAAUAUGAAAAUUAAUGGUUGCCUUUUCUUGUUGUGCUUUGGAACCAAAAGUUCUCCUUAGCAGGGAUUGCCAUUAGAAGUUCUUUUCCAGAGAAGCACAAAUAUAUAAUUGCCUUCUUUCAGUGUGUUUGCCAUCUCCUGUUGACUUGAGGUGCUAGUAAUCAGUGUCUUUCAACAAAACAGGCUGUAAGCUAUCCGAAACAAGCAUCUCCACUUUCUGGGUUCAUUCCCUUAGUUUUCUGGUUUGAGCAUAGGAAGCAUCACUGAAAUUUAUCGUAGCCAGAACCGCUCCAUGGGCAAGGCAAGGUAGUGAAGCAAGUUAUCCAUCAUAUAAGCAGGAGAACAUCAGCUUGAAGCACAAACACCAUCUUGGUGGGCAGCUCGUCCUCAGUCCUGGGACAGAAGGUUGUGACGGAGCAUGCCAAGAACAAUCCCUGGUUUUCUUGUCUCUGCGGAGAGCAGAUGAGGUGCCAGGCACUCGGGGAGAUAAAUACUAUUUUUGUGCAAGUUGCCUGGUAUAGCAGAGAACAGGACUUAAUGAGUCUCCACCUAGAGCCUGUUGGCAGAUGUAUGGGAUCUCACUUGGUUUUUUUGGUGGUUGGAGUGUCACAUAAAGGGUAUGCAGAGAGCAGCCUGGUGCUGGACAUUCCCACUAGUGAGACUGUUCUAGACCCAGGGACUGGACUCCCAUCAGCAGAGGCUGGUGUUGCAGGGUAAAGAAGCAGAGAUGUUACUUAAGUGCUUUCUGAGAGGUGACUUCAGAGGCUCUGCACAGUGCAGGUGAGCAGCCCCACACCUGUGUGAUUUUGGCAAGCCUUGGUGGUGAAACCAGCAUGACCAGCAGGUCGAGGGAGGGGAUUCUGCCCCUCUG